GAUGAACGCUGGCGGCGUGCUUAACACAUGCAAGUCGAGCGGACAGACCCUGAUCUUGUUCGUUGCACGUUUGCGGAGGGGGUGUGAAUAACAUGUGUAACAUGCACCUGUAAUACGGGUAUAUUCUGGGGAAUGGGGAUAUAACACGGUAGGAGCUCUUGAACCGCGGUGGGGAAUGGAAAGUUUCGGUGUUGGUGGAUCGUAUAGAUGGAUCCGCGCUGGUUUGGCUAGUUGGUAAGGUAACGGCUUACCAAGGGAACGAUGCGUAGCCGACCUGAGAGGGUGAUCGGCCACACUGGAACUGAGACACGGUCCAGACUCCUACGGGAGGCAGCAGUAGGGAAUCUUCCGCAAUGGGCGAAAGCCUGACGGAGCAGCGCCGCGUGAGUGAUGAAGGUCUUCGGAUCGUAAAACUCUGUUAUUAGGGAAGAACAAAUGUGUAAGUAAAUAUGCACGUCUUGACGGUACCUAAUCAGAAAGCAACGGCUAACUACGUG
rnacentral:rRNA from 1 species